GAGCAUCACCCCAGCUUUCUGGAGGUUGUUGGUGAUUUUACAGACAUGUAUUUUAGGGUUCAUUUUCACAGCUUUUAUAAUUUGUCUGUCAUCAUCUACUGUUGUUUUUCUCAGCCAAUAAGGUCGUCAUUGAUUGCUGAUGUCGCCGAGUCGGCUACCUCUUCUUCAUCCUGGUUUGCGUGUGUCAUCAUUGAAUGCAAGACUUAGAAUGCAGAAGCAAUGGAUAUGACACAUUCCCUGCUUUUAAUAUCUGAAGAAUGAAUGCAACAGCUAAACACUUAGAAAGACCUGUGAGGCAACUGUUCCAAUGAUCUUCUUAGCUGGUAAAACAUCUUUGUGUUGAAUCAACCAUUAAUAAAAUGUGACAUUCUGCA